rnacentral:rRNA from 1 species
UACGUAGGGCGCAAGCGUUGUCCGGAAUUAUUGGGCGUAAAGAGCUCGUAGGCGGCCUGUUGCGUCCGCUGUGAAAUCCCGGGGCUCAACCCCGGGCGUGCAGUGGAUACGGGCUGGCUGGAGGCAGGCAGGGGAGGACGGAAUUCCUGGUGUAGCGGUGAAAUGCGCAGAUAUCAGGAGGAACACCGGUGGCGAAGGCGGUUCUCUGGGCCUGUACUGACGCUGAGGAGCGAAAGCGUGGGGAGCGAACAGG